AACGAACGCUGGCGGCAGGCCUAACACAUGCAAGUCGAGCGCGCCCUUCGGGGUGACCUGCUGACGUUGGAGUAACGCGUGGGAACGGUCCCUUUUCUACGGAAUAGCCUCGGGAAACUGAGAGUAAUCCCUUAUACGCCCUUUGGGGGAAAGAUUUAUCGGAAAAGGAUCGGCCCGCGUUGGAUUAGGGAGUUGGUGUGGUAAUGGCCUACCAGUCCGAAGAUCCAUUGCGGGUUUUAGAGGAGGAUCAGCCACACUGGGACUGAGACACGGACCAGGGUCCUACGGGAGGCAGUAGAGGGGAGUCUUAGACAACGGAGGCAAGCGUGAGAUAGCCACGCCGCGUGAGUGAUGCAGGCCUUAGAGUUGUAAAGCGCUUGCAGCGGGGAAGAUAAUGACGGUACCAGAAGAAGAAGCCCCGGCUAACUCCGUG
rnacentral:rRNA from 1 species